CAGGCGCAGGGCAAAGGGGAUUCGAGUUGAACAGUAUGAAGGGGGUUGGAAUCCAUACUUAUGAAAGGGAUAUGUCAGAACCUUGAUUGGUUUGGAUUUUGAUUUUCUAUUAUUAUUUCUUUUUUUUCAAAAAACCGCAUUUGAUGAAUGAAUGGGUGCGUGGAGUGGGGUUCUCGUCGCCCUCUCUUUUCUCUUUUCUUUUUGUUUCUUUAUCCAUCAUGUUUUUCCCCUGUAUCUUCCCCCUUCUCUUCCCUCCCUUCAUUUUCAUGUUUUUGUUUUUUUAUUAUUUGGAUUUUUGUUUAUUAUGAUUUUUUUCUUUAUGUUCACUUCUCUUUGAUGUGUUUUGCAGUUGAUACACUUUUCUCCCAUUCUAUCCUUCUACUUGGAUCGUUACAUUUUAUCUAUUCUUCAUCUUCCUAUUUUUGUAUUUUUUGUAUUUUUUUCCUUUUUUUUUUUUUUCGCCAGUUCCGAUUGUCCUGGACCCAAGUUUUGAAACUUUUGACAUUGAAUAAAUAAAAAUACAGAUAUAAAUAAAUACAUUUGACCGUAGUCGCUUUAGCUAGUGUUAUUUUAUUACCUUUUUGGCAGAACAUAGUUACAACUCUUCCUUCUCGUCCAAAAGUUAGCAUACCCAGGUUCCAAAAUGGCUAGUGAACCAACCACCCAACGUUUCGGCCGGGAAAAAAAAAAACCAAAAAAGCCCUCCGAAGCUCGAAACUUGAAGCUCGAAGCGCGAACCUGUUUCAACCCACGAAAAUCAAACGGGGAAAAGAACAAAAUCGAUCGAACGGGGUGGCAAAAUCAUGAAGGGGGGUUAAAUAAGUGGCUUCUGUUUUUGGGUGUCAUUUUUCCUUUUCUUUUUCUUUUUUCUUGUUUUGUUUUGUUCCGUGGAAUGGCUUUGUGAUGGAGCACCUCGGGGCCAUGGGGACCCCACAAUAUGGGAGGGGGGGAAAGUGAGUGAGUAGUGAGUGGGUGAGUGGGUGGGUGGUGGUGUGUGAAAUGUCGAUAUAAUAAACGUUGUUCCCCGGCCGGGAGGAAUUGGACUUAUCAUAUAUAUAUAUAUGUAGCUUGUCUCCUGCCAAUAAGCCGGUGCCGUGUCAAUGAUGAUAAUGAUGAGAAUGAUAUGAUGGGCGUGGAGCUGGGAGCAGGACCAAGCAGAAUUAAAUACAUCAAAAGUGAAUGGCUUAAAAACGUAUGUAAUAAACUGGAUACCCUGCAUCGCCGGGACGUUUGAUGGGAAGCAGAAGAAGAAGAAGGGUAUAUCGAUCACUAAACACUCUUGACUUUAUAGUUAUCCAUGCAUAUGACAUAUCAUAUAUGCAAUUUUGACCGAAUACCCAAUACCCUGAAGGGUCCAACGAAACCAAACCAAACCAAACCAGCCAGCCCUUCAACCUCAAAUCCUUCUUGGCUGUCUGUCGCUAAAAGCCGCUUGGUGUGCACGGUCUUUGUUUGGUCUUUGUUAGGUCUUUGGAGCGAAGAGAUCAUCCACCUUCCCUUAAACCCGAAACCUCCGAAAUCCGACGCUACGGCAAGGGAGUUAAAUAGCGAGCGAUUCCUCGGCUCGUUCGUCGUCCUGGUGGGUGGAACGGUGCCCAGGGGUCAGCGUGGAUUCGGAGGUGAAGGAGGUGAAGGAGGAGGGGAGGCAACGUAUCCCAUGUUCAUGUUUUUGUUCGGCUUAGGAUGCGGGAAUUGUGAUUACUAUCCUGGUGGGUCCUGGCUCCUCCCGACGCCAAGAGGGGACUGGUUUUUUCGGCUCGCGGAG
rnacentral:sRNA from 1 species